rnacentral:lncRNA from 1 species
CCCUUUUUCAAUAGAUUGUUCAAAUGGCUUGGGGCAAUGGAGCAUCAAAGUAUCAAAAUAGCAUUCACACCACUGCAACUCAUCUAGCCUACCAUUAGCCGGUCAAAGCACUAAACUCCCUAUGGCUGUGGUAUUUUAUUUUACAAAUACAUUCUUUAGCCCAUUUUGAGGUAGAGAAACAAGAAAAUAUUUUUUUAUGAAUUAUAUAAAAAAUAUAAAGUAUAAAUUGGUUCGAG